rnacentral:rRNA from 1 species
AACGAACGCUGGCGGCAUGCCUAACACAUGCAAGUCGAACGAGACCUUCGGGUCUAGUGGCGCACGGGUGCGUAACGCGUGGGAACCUGCCCUUAGGUUCGGAAUAACUCCCCGGAAGGGGUGCUAAUACCGGAUAAUGUCUUCGGACCAAAGAUUUAUCGCCUUUGGAUGGGCCCGCGUUGGAUUAGCUAGUUGGUAGGGUAAAAGCCUACCAAGGCGACGAUCCAUAGCUGGUCUGAGAGGAUGAUCAGCCACACUGGGACUGAGACACGGCCCAGACUCCUACGGGAGGCAGCAGUGGGGAAUAUUGGACAAUGGGCGAAAGCCUGAUCCAGCAAUGCCGCGUGAGUGAUGAAGGCCUUAGGGUUGUAAAGCUCUUUUACCCGGGAUGAUAAUGACAGUACCGGGAGAAUAAGCGCCGGCUAACUCCGUG